CCUUCCCCACUCCCCGCCGGCUACACGCAGCAAGGCCCGGCCCUGCGUGCGCGCGGGACUAGGAGUGCGGGCUGGGGGGCGGGGGGCCGACAGCCGACUGCCCCCCGCCCCCGGGCCCGACACGUGCGGGCAAGGAGAUAAGAGAAGUGGUGAGCCGGGGGGAUAGUGCGCGACCUGCCUUAUCCCUCCCCCCCCAACCUUGUGCCAUGCAACGUGUAUGCAAUCGGGACUGAAACAAGGACGAGAGAAGUCUGGCUUGAUCCUUGACUUACACAGAUAGAGAUCUCGAUCUCUAUAGAUAUAUAUACGUAUAGAUUUCUAUAGAUAAAUACAUGUUGAUAUAGAUAUCUAUAAAUAGAUAGCUAUAGAUAUCUAUAGAUAGAUGUAUUAUAUAUAGGUACAUAGAUAUCUAUAGCUAGAUAGAUGUAUUAUACAUAGAUAGCUAUAGAUAGAUGUAUUAUAUCUAUAGAUAAAUAGAUGUAUUAUAUAUAGCUAUAGAUAGAUGUAUUAUAUAUAGAUAGAUAAAUGGAUGCAUUAUAUAUAGCUAUAGAUAGAUGUAUUAUAUACAUAUCUAUAGAUAGGUAGAUUUAUUAUACAAUAUAUAGAUAUAUAGAUACCUAUUGAUAUCGAUAGAGAUGUAUUCUACAUAGAUAUAGCUAUAUAGAUAGAUAUCUAUAGAGCUAGAGAGAUGUAUUAUAGAUAGAUAUCUAUAGAGAGAGAGAUAUUACAGAUAGAUAUAUAUAGAUAGUUAUCUAUAGACAGAGAUGUAUUAUAGAUAUAUUAUAAAUAUAUAGAUAUCUAUAGAGAUAUAGAGAUGUAUUAUAGAUAGAUACUGGUAUAGGUAUAGGUAUCAGGGGAAAAAGAGAGGCGAGGCAGGAGCACUCCGGGAGAUGAGAUGCAAGGAAGGAUUUGCUCAUCGAUUUUCUUAAAUGGAAAAGUUUUAAAGGAUGAGGGGAAGUGAACUGUGAAGACUUUUCUAAUGCCGAGGAACCGUUGCAGGGCUCCAGCCCUCGGGCAGGGACGAGCAUCCCGCGAGGUGCCCGCCAGGUGCACGGCGAGGGAAGAAACAGCCCAUUCUUAGGAACCUCCAGAUGCCAAGGCACCGCCCUCCUCUCUGUUAAAAAUACUUUCCAAGCAAACUUGCCCAAGGCCAACAAGUCCUUACUCCUUCCCCUCCCCAAGGCAUAUUCUUAUUCCUAUUCCCCCUGUGGAUCCUUAUGACUACAUCAGGCUCACACUGAUGCAACCCGCAGUACCGAAAGGCUGGCAAGUGCAACGUUACACCAUGGCCAUCGCUCCGGAUCCACCCCAGUGCGCCUCGAAAAGUAGCAACGCUCCCUUUGAAACAGGGCGAGGAUAGACAGCAAAGGGGAGAGAGGCUGCGAAAGAGCAGGAAGAGACACUUGUGUAUCGCAGAUCGGGGAGGGGGGUUAAAGCUCCGAAGAUAACAAUGAACAAACUGUCUGAUGACGAUAAAAGCAAAGCUGCAGCCUCUCAGGUGGUCUAAAUUGGUCCCUCGGAAAGCCAAGUGCCUCGGCGGCGCCCAGAGAGCACAGGCGUGUGCUGCGAGUACUGUGCAUCUGCAUACGAUGAUAUUAAUAAUAAUAACAUGCACGCGCACCGUCUCCGGCUUAGCAGCUUUGCUCCUCCGGGUGGAGGGGUGGAGAAAAGCCGGCUCGGCUCUCUCUCGCUGUUUGCCCCGCGGGCCAGAAGGGGCCGCUGCCCCAAUUUCCUUGGCAAACAAUGCAAGAAUUGAUGAAACUUGCGAAGUUGGCGCCCGCUCCCGCAGAAGGCAAAGGCGAAACUCCCGCUGACUUCAGCUGCCCCGGGGUCGGGGCCACCCAGCGCGCGCGCCUUCCCCCCUCCCGGCCUGCCUGCGGGAGCUGCGCGGACCUACCUUCCUUCCUACCUACCUACCCACCCCCGCGCGUCUGUCUGCGGCCAAUUGGCGCGGCAAAACAAAGCGCUUUGCGGGGCGACGUCAGACCCGCGUUCGCCCGCUACCGCGCCUAAGCAGAGCGCAGCCAUCGGGGAGGGCCGGCUGCUCCUCCGCGGCCGAUUAGCUCUCAGCCUGCCUUUUCUGUUUUGUUUUGUUUCCUUCCCCCCCAUCCCAGUUUGAUAGCUGCCUGCAGGGCUAAUCCGCCCCUGUCUCCGAGCCAAGCAGCCCCGAGAGGGACAGGAGCAGCGCUAAUAAAUUAAUCCUUCUGCUUCCCAACCCCCUCGGCCAGGAGCUCUGCCGCUGCCGCUGCCUCUCCUAAUCCUCGCGCCUCCCUCGGCAGCCGCACCAGCGCCUCCGCCGAGACAGGGGGGCGAAGAUGGGAGAGAGACGAUUUCCGACGAGCUACAAGCCGAGCAGCGAGGCGUCGCUUUGCAUUUCUUUCCCUUUUUAAAACAGCUGAUCCCUAAAGAAAGACAGAGGUGAAGACAAGGGAGUGCCCGCCUCUGAUUUUUUCCCCCCAAAUCCCAUCCAGUUCAAUAGCUAUCACUGAAACCGGCUUGGAUUUCGAGAAUGAAAUGGAAGUGUGGUCGGAGCCACGUGUAAAUCCGCUCCCUUGCAUAUUUUGGAUUUGUUCAGGGCAGCAGGAGAGGGAGAGGCAGGGAAGAAGGUGGGGAGGGGAGAGAGGGAUGGAGGGGAAGAAUGCAUAAAAAAACCCCAAACCCUCCCAGAAAAGCCUACUCCUUGUGACUGCUACAGCUGAAACACCUGGGGUGUCCACGAUGAAAAUCUGAAACUCACUCAGGAUGGAGGUUCAAAGCUCCCACUCCCACCACUUUAGGUUUCCAGUAUGAAACAAAGCACCACUUGGAAUAAGGGAGGGAUUCAAACCACCAUAAAUUCCCUUUACAGUGAAUGAAGUGCAAUUCAGUGCAGCACAUGGAGGCUUCUCAAUGAUCUUAAUUCUGGGUAUAAAACAUAACCUUUAAAGUCCUGGGAAGGUGCUAAACUAUAACCUGAAUUCAUUUAGGACAAUGUGAGACCAUCUCCCCCCUCUUGAUUGAACUAGUGUGCAAGUGUUUCCUAACAGUACAUUUACUGUAUCUCUGCUACAUGAAUAGCUUCACAGCUUUGUGUUGUUCCUUCUGUUCAACAAUCAUUCCACUGUACUACAUUGGUUCCUUAGUCCCAUUCACUUUUUAUAUCAAAUUAUUGUUUGGGAAAUUAAAAAAAUACUGGAACAGAUUAAGAUAGAACAGUGAUUAAGUAGAUCUGUGAUUUUUUUUAAAUAGUCCUGCACGUUUGCAAUCUUCAGUUGUGUGGAAUCAGGGUCUAUAAUCUUCAAUAGAAAUUUAUUUCCACAUUCCAGUUUUUAAUUGCCCCAUGUUACAAUGACAGUCUCAAAUUGUUUUGACUUGGGAGGUAUCUAUUUUCCAAUGGAUUCGUUUACAAGUGCAGUUGCUUAAACAUGAUUUAUACUUUCCAGAACCAGAUAAAAUGAUAGAUCACAGCUAGGGGGUUUACUAGCUGGGCAUAAGAAGCAUGGCAUUAAAAUUAAAAUAAUUACCUGUUUA